ACCCAAUUCUAGCCGUUCAGUGAUAUGGGGCAGUGCUUUUGCAAUAGAGCAGGAAAAGAAGGCUCUCGGACACUGUGUGUCUACAGUUUCAAAUGUGCAUGACUCCCAUGCACAUUCUGAAUGUUCUCUUAUCUCUCAGUAUUAAGUUAAACAUUUCUGCCAGCACUAUCAGCGGCUUAAACUGCAGAUGGUGCUGCUGAAACAUUGGGCAGACUUGAAAGCAUGUCUUCAGGGUGUCAAGCAUUGGGUCGAAUAAGAUAAGGUUUAUAAAGUUUAGCAUUAAAGCAUGCAGGCUAUAGAUACAGGCAACUAAAAAGAGAAUUGAUGUAUCUUUCAUCUUGUGCCACCUCUGCAGACACACACACACUAACCUCGGCAUGUAAGCUGAUUACGUCUGUGCUCUAUCCAGAAGUCAGGGAAGGAUUUUAACACACUUACAUAAGCUAAGAAUCAGUGGGACGACGCUGAUGGGUCAUGGUGAGGAUCUUAAAGAUGACGAAUAUUUCAUGUGGGAGCUAAACCAAUUUUCAUAGUGCAGAACACACAGUAUUAAGGCUAUUUUCAGUAACUGGCUCAGAAUAUCGUAAGGCUAUGUAUAAAAACGGAUCAUGUGAUUGUUUCUUUUCGUUUUCUUAUUAUUCUUAGUAGGUCCUACAUAUGGGGUGUAGAACAAAUAUGCUGUGGAGCACAUGCACAGAUGCAAGCACAGAGGACAGUUUUCCAGUAGCUUGCAUACUGUAGCACACUCAGGGUUAUAUAACCCAGAAUGGCACUGCAUAGCUCAGUUUGCUGGAGAAUCUGGGCUGAGUCCCUCAGGGAAGUUACUAACCGCUGAUGUGAAUUGGAGAAGAACACAUUACACCCCAGUGUAAUUUGCUGUAAAUAAAUUCACUGGUAACAUUGGAAAAGGUUGUGGAGACCUGAUACCUUCACAAUACUUACAGAAGAGGAGCUUACUUUUUUUGUGAUUCUUUCACAUCCGUCAUCGUCAGACAUCACCUGUGUGAUUCUGUCUUUACCAUGUGUGCGUGUCUGUGGAUGUUAUAAUGCCUUUCAAGCAUGACAGCGCCUCAUGUUUGAUUGCUGCAGCCGUGAAUUCAUCUGUGAAACGGCGUAAUUAGUUGCCCUCAGCGCAAGUGUCGCUUCAUAACAUCCGGGACCCGGGGCCCGGGGCCCAAAACAGUUGCAUAACCAGAAACGCCUAGGAUGCUCGGUGAAUUGCCUUGUGUCUCAUAAUUGGUCUACUUGAAUAAUGAGGGCAUGUCUUGUUUUUGUCACUGCACACUAGGCACGGUGUCUGUCUUUACAAAUCAACAGGAAAUGCGCACGUGUGAAUGGGGGAAAAGGGCUCACACACAAAAAAGAAUUCAAUGUGUUUCAGGAAGCCAGCUGAGUCAGACUUAUUCCACUGUUCCUCGCUGAUUUAGUCUUUUUAUUUAGGUAUGAUUUAUUUGUUAGACAUCAUUAAACUGUACUGUGCAGAGCAUUUGAUUAUUUUACUAUGAAGUGUAACUGGCUUUCCCUCUAAGAUAUUUUCUACAUUUCCAAGAAAGCCCUUCUAUCACAAUGAGAAUGUACUUGAAACUGCAUUAAGUUAUUGCUACUGAUAUUAGUAACAACAGGCAGUGGUGGGAGCACACAGGUGCUUCACUUCAAGCGGACUCUGAAGCUGUACAGUUUUGGUUUACACUCACUGCUUUUAGGUACAAUAUGUCAGUGUUGUGUUCACAGCUUUUUCCUUUUGCUGCCAAGAGGCCUAUAAUUUGUCAUGUCAUUACAAGUUAUUGCAAAAGUAUUGUGCUUAAAGAGUCGAGAGUUAAACGUAGAUGCUUUUAUGCAUGCGAAUAGCCACUUUGAGUGGUAUAUUAUCAUACAUUAUAUUAUUGGAUUAUUAUUACCAAUGCUGUAAUGUGUAAACCACAUUUUACUCUGGUUGCUCAAAAUGGAGCUGUUUUCAAAUACCUUACUGUAUAUAUAUUGCGUGGUAGUUUGUUCCUAAACAAUGCAUUUUACAAGCUCAAAUGGUAUGUUUUGUACUUCUUGUAUUCGUCAGAUAAAUGUAGUGGAGUAAAAGGUACAAUAUAGUAGUAGUAUAUGUUGCAUUAA